CACCAAGGCAGUAAAUUAAGAUUUGGCGUUUGAAGUUGACGUUUGGCGUAUAAAUUUCAUGCUUUAACGACUACAAGCCCUCGUAGCAGUUCAAGCAUGAAAUUUGUACGCCAAACGCCAACUUCAAACGCCAAAUCUUAGUUUACUGCUUUGGUGAAUGGCAUGACUAGUGGUUAAUUUGCUUUCUUAAAUCAUUGCUAAAGAGCACAAGUUUAAU